GACGAACGCUGGCGGCGUGCUUAACACAUGCAAGUCGAACGGAAAGGCCCUGCUUUUGCGGGGUGCUCGAGUGGCGAACGGGUGAGUAACACGUGAGUAACCUGCCCUUGACUUUGGGAUAACUUCAGGAAACUGGGGCUAAUACCGGAUAGGAGCUCCUGCUGCAUGGUGGGGGUUGGAAAGUUUCGGCGGUUGGGGCUGGACUGGCGGGUUAUCAGCUUGUUGGUGGGGUAGUGGCUUACCAAGGCUGUGACGGGUAGGCGGCCUGAGAGGGUGACCGGCCACAUUAGGACUGAGAUACGGCGCAGACUGCUACGGGAGGCAGCAGUGGGAAAUAUUGCACAGUGAGCCGAAGCCUGAGGCAACAACGCCGCGUGCGGGAUGACGGCCUUCGGGGUGUAAACCGCUGUGGCCUGUGACGAAGCGUGCGUGACGGUAAUGGGUAAAGAAGCACCGGCUAACUACGUG
rnacentral:rRNA from 1 species